AUUGAACGCUGGCGGCAUGCCUUACACAUGCAAGUCGAACGGCAGCACGGGGCAACCUGGUGGCGAGUGGCGAACGGGUGAGUAAUGCAUCGGAACGUACCUUUCAGUGGGGGAUAACGUAGCGAAAGUUACGCUAAUACCGCAUAUUCUGUGAGCAGGAAAGCAGGGGAUCGCAAGACCUUGCGCUGAUUGAGCGGCCGAUGUCAGAUUAGCUAGUUGGUGAGGUAAAGGCUCACCAAGGCGACGAUCUGUAGCGGGUCUGAGAGGAUGAUCCGCCACACUGGAACUGAGAGACGGUCCAGACUCCUACGGGAGGCAGCAGUGGGGAAUUUUGGACAAUGGGGGCAACCCUGAGCCAGCCAUGCCGCGUGAGUGAAGAAGGCCUUCGGGUUGUAAAGCUCUUUCGGCCGGGAAGAAAUCGCACGGGCUAAUACCCUGUGUGGAUGACGGUACCGGAAUAAGAAGCACCGGCUAACUACGUGCCAGCCGCCGCAGUAAUAC
rnacentral:rRNA from 1 species